rnacentral:misc_RNA from 1 species
GAAAUGCGAUACGUAAUGCGAAUUGCAGAAUUCAGUGAAUCAUCAAAUCUUUGAACGCAAAUUGCGCUUUCUGGAUAGGCCAGAGAGCAUGCUUCUUUGAGUAUCGUUUCUACCCCAUCUCAGUGGCUUUGCUGCUGGAGAAUGAGCUGUCUCACUUGUAACAGAGUGGGUCGCUUUAAAGUGCGUGAGUGCCUAAACUCCUGAUGUAGAACCACUUCAAAAAUGGUUCGACCCUACCUGGGUUCCUAGCAUCGGUGAUGUGGAUAAAUUUUUUCUAACAUCGCUGAAGCUGGUGAGCCUAAGUGGUGGCUAAACAUCGUUGGUAACUUGACACUUGUGGAAAAUUAAAUCAAUUUUUUGAAUUAGAUCUCAAAUGAAGCAAGACUACCCGCUGAACUUA